UAAAGCCGCAUACCCACAAUCGUGCCGAGCGCCGAGGCAAGAAUGUUGACCAGGUUAUUGCCGAUCAGCACCAGGCUUAUCAGUCGGUCGGGU
rnacentral:tRNA from 1 species